AAACCUGGCGGCCGCUUAACCAUGCAAGUCCAACGGAGAAUUUUUGGUUUACUGAGAAUUCUUAGUGGCGGACGGGUGAGUAACACGUGAGCAACCUACCUUAGAGAGAGGGAUAGCUUCUGGAAACGGAUGGUAAUACCUCAUAACAUAACUGAAAGGCAUCUUUUGGUUAUCAAAGAUUUAUCACUCUGAGAUGGGCUCGCGUCUGAUUAGAUAGUUGGUGAGGUAACGGCUCACCAAGUCGACGAUCAGUAGCCGGACUGAGAGGUUGAACGGCCACAUUGGGACUGAGACACGGCCCAGACUCCUACGGGAGGCAGCAGUGGGGAAUAUUGCACAAUGGGGGAAACCCUGAUGCAGCGAUGCCGCGUGGAGGAAGAAGGUUUUCGGAUUGUAAACUCCUGUCUUAAAGGACGAUAAUGACGGUACUUUAGGAGGAAGCUCCGGCUAACUACGUGCCAGCAGCCGCGGUAAU
rnacentral:rRNA from 1 species